CCUACGGGAGGCAGCAGUGGGGAAUAUUGCACAAUGGGCGCAAGCCUGAUGCAGCAACGCCGCGUGAGGGACGACGGCCUUCGGGUUGUAAACCUCUUUUAGUAGGGAAGAAGCGAAAGUGACGGUACCUGCAGAAAAAGCACCGGCUAACUACGUGCCAGCAGCCGCGGUAAUACGUAGGGUGCAAGCGUUAUCCGGAAUUAUUGGGCGUAAAGAGCUCGUAGGCGGUUUGUCGCGUCUGCUGUGAAAACUGGAGGCUCAACCUCCAGCCUGCAGUGGGUACGGGCAGACUAGAGUGCGGUAGGGGAGAUUGGAAUUCCUGGUGUAGCGGUGGAAUGCGCAGAUAUCAGGAGGAACACCGAUGGCGAAGGCAGAUCUCUGGGCCGUAACUGACGCUGAGGAGCGAAAGCAUGGGGAGCGAACAGGAUUAGAUACCCUGGUAGUCCAUGCCGUAAACGUUGGGAACUAGAUGUAGGGACCAUUCCACGGUUUCUGUGUCGCAGCUAACGCAUUAAGUUCCCCGCCUGGGGAGUCGGCCGCAGGCUAAAACUCAAAUGAAUUGACGGCNGAGAGUGCGACGGCGACGACGAGGGAGGAGG
rnacentral:rRNA from 1 species